GUGUGGAUGUGCUGUACAAAGAGAUGAUUCACGAGCCAGGCAGGACAGAGUGGGAUGGCACGCGAUUUCAUUACAUUACUCAGAACAGCAUGCAAUUUAAAACAUGAAUUGCUUUCCAUUUAAAAAAAAGGAAUUUGAUUAUGCGUUUUCUAAAGCUUCCAAAAGAAAACACCAAAUGUCUGACCCACAGUUUGGACUAAUAAUGGCUAACAAAGUAUGCUGGGACUACAACCACCACAAGGAGACAAAGAAAGAAUGUUUGAUGUAAACAUAAAGGUUUUGCAACAGUUCCAGGUAUCAUCAGGAAAAUGGCCAAAUUAAUAGAAAGUAAUUAAUGACAAUUAAGAAGGGCUACAAAAACUUCACUGAAGCUAGAAAGGAUUGACAACCAAUUACAUUAGUUGUAGCUGGAAAAAACUGUGGCUGACAGCCAGUUAUGAUUUCAAGAAGUUUGGAGAAAAUAGAAGAUAUUUUACCAACAGACUAUUCUGGUAACAACUUCCAAAGAGGCUGUACCACAAGGACUCAAUAGAGCGCUGAUUUGGUUGUACCUGCAAUUCCAAAAGUGCAUACUACAGGUAAAAAGGGAUGGAACAAGUGCCCAGAGAAAGAUAUGGAUACAAACAGAAGAAUUAUCCUUGGAAAGGACAGAUGUGUCCUUCUAAUUUCUCACACCACUAAAAUAGACAACAAUUUAGAGGUUUCGAGAUGGAGAGUUGAACUGAGAUCAUAGGAAUUGAGGCCAUCUGUUAGGCCUAGAGUAAGGAGAGAAUUCGGAAAAGAUUUGGAAAAAUAAAUAGAUAAGUUUUGGAGCAGCAUUUUGACGGAUACAGUUUGUGUGUCAAAGUGAUAGUCAAAAUGCGGGUACACAGAACUCAGAUACACCGCUAUGGUGAAGUGGCUCGACCCUUUCAAGUCUCUUAUAAUUGAGUCUCCCUAGAAGCUAUGAUGAUAUCAAACUUGUAGUUCAUGAAGAGGCUACUACACUGAGCUUGCACACCACAUCGGAAAACCAAAUUUUCUGGGGGAAAACCCAUGAAAAUUCCUGGAGUAAUAUUGCUGCAUUUUCCUGUAUUUGAAAUAAAUGUUCUUCUCUAGUAUGUACUUAGUAUUUUCCACGAACCAGAAAUUUCACUCCACACCUCUGUGUUCACAGUUACUAAGUUUCAGAUUUGUUUCCAGGGUUAAUAUAAUAAGAUUUUCAUUUUAAUUUUUCUAGACUAUCUUCCAGAAAGAGAAAAUAUAAUGACUGAGGAAUUAAGAAAAAUAUGCUUUGUUUUUGUUCUCGUGUUUUAAGCAAAGCACAGGGAAACACUCAUGUAAGCGGAGCACACAUACUUAAUUAACUGGAACCCCAUGACUUUGUAAGUGGAGAUCUUGGAGGAUGACUCACAGUUUUAGGCAGAGAACUCUUCCUAGAAGUCCAACAUUUUGAAGACAUCUCCAUCACCUAGAAGCAUCCAGAGAUAAAGAAAUUACUAUAGUGCCACAUUGUGAUGAGGAAACUGACAUCCAGUAAAAGAUCGCAUUAAACAUAAGCCUGGUAGUAGAACCAUAAUAGAACCCUGGAUUCAUGACAGCUUCUGAGGACUCUGCCCAUCUUCCUUGAUUAGCUCCAGAAUACAGAAGCAAUCCUAAAAAUGCAAGUAAGCAUCCUCAAGAAGUCAGGAAUAGAUUUUUCUAAGGUUAUGCUGACUUCAUGAACAUCAGUCAGGAUAGACCACAACUUCAAGCUACAUGGGAAGAUUAUGACUCUUGAAAAACAGACUUCAGAGCAUCAUACAUCGAACCUACCUGAAAACUGGGUGUGUACCUCCAGACAGGUCCGGGAAGCCAUCCAGACAUUCAUGUACAUUUUUUAUGUGUCAGCUGUUGCAUGGGUAUUUUGAGAAGCACUUUGAGAAGUCACAGCAGGAAUCUAGCUUUUGUGUUCUGAAAGUACCAGCUUUAUUGCAGCUCAAACAAAAAUAAAAAGGAAACAGCGUCAUUACCCGGCAGGUUUUUCAGUAUAGUUCCAGCAGGGUUCUGUCUUUUCUAGCUCCAACAUGCUUACCUCCCCAGUCUUGUGAAAAAGAAUCUAUCUUGGCAGAACCUGAACCAAAUAUGAAACACAGUUUCAACAUUUUCCUGCCAUUUUUCCUGAGAAGUACUUUCAUCAGAACAUUUUGGUUUGCUGAGAACAUGUGUACUUCUUCUUUUGAGAGACAGAACAUUCUUUUAUUUGGUGACCUCAAGAGGCUUUUUACCUUCAACUGGAGGUGGGGAGGAGGGAAAUGGAACUCCAAUGGAUAGGUAAUUGUACCUCUCAGCCACACACUUUCUUGCUGAGCUACAUAAUGGUUCAUGAGCUCUUAAAAAACUGAGACUUGUAAAAGUGUUCCCAAUUGUUAGUUCAAGGUCUGUAGCCAGCUUAGAAAUUGUUAAAAUGUACAAAAUGAGAAAAAACAGCAGGGAAAGAAAUUCUAGGUCAUGCUUUUAUGAGCUGCUUGACAAAAAAAAAAAAAAAAAAAAAAAGUUUUUUCAGAGGAUGGGAACAAUUUCAAUGUUCAGUUUUCUACACCAGUGGGAUUGUGAGGCAAAAUAUGUAUAUCUCUGGUGCAGGUGAGUCAAUGAUUAAAGAGAGUUUAAUUCUAGGCCCCAUCACGUGUCAAUACAGUAAAUGGUAUGUGAUUCUGCCAAAUACCAGAAAUCCUAUAUUGUAUAGGUUAAAUCUCCACAUUGUAUUCUGCUUUGUAAUAACUAGUUAGGAAAAGGCUUUACAGUUGAGGUGAGAGACAGGAAAGAAAGUGAGGAGUAUAUUAAAUUUUCAGAAGAGUCCUAACAUAUCUUAGGUAAACUUGAGGAAAAAUAUUGUAAUGCCCAUAGAAAAUGACAUACAUGAGUGAGAGGAUGGUGUCAGGUCAAGAUGUUCUGCUGUGCUAGGGCACAGGGUCAUCACCAGCAUUGUGUAGUAUGCAACAUGGUUCUCCCAUUAAGCAAUGCAGAGUCUAAUAUUUGCCCAACCAAAACACUGCUGUCACUCUGAAUCUCUUCCUUCCACCCCGUCUAGUUGUUUGACUUUUUCUGAUUAACUUCUAGUCACCUCCCAGAUCUCAGCCCAAACAUCACUUUCUCAGAGAAGCCUUCUCUCACAUGGUCCUGGUGGAGCUGAGUCUCUGUAAUAUACUCUUUCUAGCCCCAUAGAGCACAUGUCAUGGUUGAUUAUAUUUGUGUGAGUAUGGGACUGAUGGCUGUCUCCCAUCGUCUCCUCAGAGCUACCACAAUGUUCAGCUUGAUAGCAAAUCUUUAAAAGAUGUUGGUUAAUCAAAGAAUAAAGGUAGCAAUGAAUAAACAAGUAAGUUGAAGGAACAGAAUAGAGAAACUGGAGUGGAUGCACUUCCUACUGGGACGAGAGGAAGAAGCCAACAAUCUUGACUUUAUUUUUAGAUACAAAACAAACCACCCUAUCAUAACUUUCACAAACUAUGCAUAAAAUUCAGCAAAAUCGUUUUCUCUUUCCACUUCACUGAACUUAUGAGGCAUGUUGCCACUUUUCUGCCCAUCUUAACAUUAAGCACCACGCUCAUCAUUAAAACACACCACACUAUAUCAAGAAAUGUAAGCCAUAUCUGAUAUGUGGGAUAAUUAUUACAUAAUUGAGAUUAAUAGAUCCCUGAGAAAGAGACAGAGAGAAAUGACACAGCUGAGGCAGACACAGGGCCUACAGCCCUGCUCCUAGGGUGUCUCUGCCAUAAACAGCAAUAACACAAGCCCUCAUAUGCUGAACCACCCAGUGACACAACACAGGCCCUCUUCCUGGACCUACAUUAGCCCAGUUUUUUACUGCACAUUUUUAAAAUGACUUCAUUAUUGAAGAGUAAUAUCUGUAUGAUAAUGGAUUCAUGCCAAAAAACAAUCAUCUCCAAGGUCUUAAAGUCAGAUGCUAAAUGCAAAUGGUAAAAACUGCCCUCUUUCUCUCCCAUUCAUUUUACUGCUCACUCCAACCUUUCCUCACACUCUUAUUAUCUUUCCUAAAAAGAAAAAGACUUUUUUUCUCCAAGUUAGGAUUCCUUGUUUCAUUGCUUUAGUCAGUGAGAAAAAGCUCAGGACUACAUUCAUGGCUAUUCCCAGAGCUAUUCUGUAAUUCUUUCAACCAUCACCUCUCCCAUCUCCCCAGUGGCACAAGGCUCAUCUGUUCCCUCCAUCAGCUGCCUAGAGAAGACUGAAAGUGAGAGGAGAUCACAAUAGCAAUCACGGGGAGCAGUCAAUAUCAAGAGUCCCAGUGAUACUAGUAAAAACAGACAUGGCUGAUCCACAAGUCAGCAGUGACAGUCCUCACAACGAUCUAGCUCUUGAAAUGAGAAAUGCUGGUAUAUCACUUACGGAGGUCUGAUUUAAUGCUCAUUUAAGUGAACUACCCACUCCCUACUUCUCUUUUGGGUCUCCUUUGCAAAAUCAUUUGUAAAAUAAAGGGCAUAAUUCUCAACUUCUUCACAUAUAUGUAGCAUUGCAUUAUGAAUAACCAUACAAUUUCAGUACUUUAUUUAAAUUAUUAUGUGUUAGAUUCCCUCUUGUUUCCUUUUGUCCUACAGACUCUGUAUAGGCAUACCUCGAAGAUAUUGUGGGUUGGAUCCAGACUACUACAAUAAAGAGAGUAUAAUAAUAAGGCAAGUCACACAAAUUUUUUGAUUUACUUAAAUUAUAUAUACACUACAUUGUAGUCUAUUAAGUCUGCAAUAGCAUUAGGUCUUAAAAUUUGUACAUACCCUAAUUUAAACAUAUUUUGUUGCUAAAAAUGCUAACAAUCAUCUUGAGCCUUCAGUGAGUCAUAAUCUUUGUGCUGAUGAUGGUUCUUACCUCAAUUAUGAUGACUGUUGACAGAGUGGUGGUUGCUGAAGCAUGGGAUGGCUAUGGCAAUUUCUUAAAAUAAAACAAUGAA